rnacentral:rRNA from 1 species
UACGGAGGAUCCGAGCGUUAUCCGGAUUUAUUGGGUUUAAAGGGAGCGUAGGUGGAUUGUUAAGUCAGUUGUGAAAGUUUGCGGCUCAACCGUAAAAUUGCAGUUGAAACUGCAUCCCUUGAGUGCGCGAGAAGUAUGCGGAAUGCGUGGUGUAGCGGUGAAAUGCAUAGAUAUCACGCAGAACUCCGAUUGCGAAGGCAGCAUACCGGCGCGCAACUGACGCUCAUGCACGAAAGCGUGGGUAUCGAACAGG